rnacentral:rRNA from 1 species
GAUUAACGCUGGCGGCAUGCCUAAUACAUGCAAGUCGAACGGAAGCAGCAAUGCUUUAGUGGCGAACGGGUGAGUAACACGUAGGGAACCUACCUAUACGACGAGGAUAACUACUGGAAACGGUAGCUAAAACUGGAUAGGAUCAAUUGAGGCAUUUUGAUUGAUUUAAAGAUCCUUCGGGAUUACGUAGAGAUGGCCCUGCGGCGCAUUAGCUAGUUGGUGAGGUAACGGCCCACCAAGGCGACGAUGCGUAGCUGAGCUGAGAGGCUAAACAGCCACACUGGGACUGAGACACGGCCCAGACUCCUACGGGAGGCAGCAGUAGGGAAUUUUCGGCAAUGGGGGAAACCCUGACCGAGCAAUGCCGCGUGAACGAUGAAGGUCUUCGGAUUGUAAAGUUCUGUGAUUGGGGAAGAAUGGUAUUCUUAGGGAAUGAGGAGUACAUGACGGUACCCGAUUAGAAAGCCCCGGCUAACUAUGUGCCAGCAGCCGCGGU